rnacentral:pre_miRNA from 1 species
UGUUUAGUAUAAGUAUGCUCCAUGCAAUAUCUGGACAUACUUAUACUAAAA